GUACACGCUGUGACUAGCAUAUCAAUAAGCGGAGGAAAAGAAACUAACAAGGAUUCCCCUAGUAACGGCGAGUGAAGCGGGAAGAGCUCAAAUUUGAAAUCUUAAAGGGUUUCCCUUUACGAAUUGUAGUUUAAAGAAGUGUUUUCUGUUGAGGUUUUGGUAAAAGUUCUUUGGAAUAGGACAUCAUAGGGGGUGAGAAUCCCGUAUUUGACCUUUACUUUCAACUUUGUGAUACACUUUCAAAGAGUCGGAUUGUUUGGGAAUGCAGUCCAAAAUGGGUGGUAAAUUUCAUCUAAAGCUAAAUAUUGGCGAGAGACCGAUAGCGAACAAGUACCGUGAGGGAAAGAUGAAAAGAACUUUGAAAAGAGAGUUAAACAGUACGUGAAAUUGUCAAAAGGGAAGCGUUUGACACCAGUGUUGUUUUUCUGAAAAUCAAUUAAAGAACUGUUUAUGCUAAGUUGUUUAGACUUUAUCAGCUAACUGUUUAGUUUUGAGCUUUUCUUUAAUGCACUUUUCAGUUAACAAGUCAACAUCAAUUUCUUUUGCUGUAAAAAAGCUUGAGGAAGGUGGCUUGAGAUUCGUCUUAAGUGUUUAUAGCCUCUUGCCUAUGCAGUCGGAGAGAUUGAGGUCUGCAGCGUAGAUCCUUCGGGGCUAAAUGCAUUUGUGCUAAGUUAUAGCAUUUUAUAGACAACUUGUUGACUAUGAUUUGUCUUGUAGCUUACUCGCUUAUGUUAUUUUACCUACGCUUAGGAUGUUGAAGAUGUAGCACAUCA
rnacentral:rRNA from 1 species